UGCAGAUCCAUUUUCUGCCACCGAAUACAUUAGCAUGGGAUAAUGGAAUAGGACCCUGUCCUCCUAUUUUCAGUUGGUUUUGGCAGCGCGAGGACUAGGGUAAUGAUUAAUAGGGAUAGUUGGGGGCAUUAAUAUUUAAUUGUCAGAGGUGAAAUUCUUGGAUUUAUGAAAGAUUAACUUCUGCGAAAGCAUCUGCCAAGGAUGUUUUCAUUAAUCAAGAACGAAAGUUAGGGGAUCGAAGACGAUCAGAUACCGUCGUAGUCUUAACCAUAAACGAUGCCGACCAGCGAUUAGGAGACGUUGAAUACAAAACACCACCAUCGGCGCGGUCGUCCUUGGCGUCUGUCCCUUUCAACGGGGGCAGGCGCGAGGGCGGUUUAGCCCGGUGGCACCGGUGAAUGACUCCCCUAGCAGCUUGUGAGAAA
rnacentral:rRNA from 1 species